CAAUAGCGUAUAUUAAAGUUGUUGCAGUUAAAAGCUCGUAGUUGGAUUUGUGGUGGUUCCUGAGGUCCAAAUUUUGGUACUAUCGGGCGCCGCCAUCCUUGGGUGGAACCUGUGUGGCAUUAGGUUGUCGUGCAGGGGAUGCCCAUCUUUUACUGUGAAAAAUUAGAGUGUUCAAAGCAGGCUUACGCCGUUGAAUAUAUUAGCAUGGAAUAACAUUAUACGACUUUGGAUCUAUUUUGUUGGUUUGCGCUCCGAAGUAAUGAUUAACAGGGACAGUUGGGGGUAUUCGUAUUCCAUUGUCAGAGGUGAAAUUCUUGGAUUUCUGGAAGACGAACUACUGCGAAAGCAUUUACCAAGGAUGUUUUCAUUGAUCAAGAACGAAAGUAUGGGGAUCGAAGAUGAUCAGAUACCGU
rnacentral:rRNA from 1 species